rnacentral:rRNA from 1 species
UAGGGAAUCUUCCGCAAUGGGCGAAAGCCUGACGGAGCAACGCCGCGUGAGUGAUGAAGGUCUUCGGAUCGUAACACUCUGUUAUUAGGGAAGAACAAAUGUGUAAGUAACUAUGCACGUCUUGACGGUACCUAAUCAGAAAGCCACGGCUAACUACGUGCCAGCAUCCGCGGUAAUACGUAGGUGGCAAGCGUUAUCCGGAAUUAUUGUGCGUAAAGCGCGCGUAGGCGGUUUUUUAAGUCUGAUGUGAAAGCCCACGGCUCAACCGUGGAGAGUCACUGGAAACUGGAAAAAUUGAGUGCAGAAGAGGAAAGUGGAAUUCCAGGUGUAGCGGUGAAAUGCGCGGAGAUAUGGAGGAAAACAAGUGGCGAAAGCGACUUUCUGGUCUGUAACUGACGCUGAUGUGCGAAAGCGUGGGGAUCAAACAGG